CCUAACACCGCAUGGUGUAGGGUUGAAAGAUGGUUUCGGCUAUCACUUUAGGAUGGACCCGCGGUGCAUUAGUUAGUUGUGAGGUAAGGCUUACCAAGACCGUGAUGCAUAGCCGACCUGAGAGGGUAAUCGGCCACAUUGGGACUGAGACACGGCCCCAGACUCCUACGGGAGGCAGCAGUAGGGAAUCUUCCACAAUGGACGAAAGUCUGAUGGAGCAACGCCGCGUGAGUGAAGAAGGUUUUCGGAUCGUAAAACUCUGUUGUUGGAGAAGAAUGUAUCUGAUAGUAACUGAUCAGGUAGUGACGGUAUCCAACCAGAAAGCCACGGCUAACUACGUG
rnacentral:rRNA from 1 species